UACGGGAGGCAGCAGUAGGGAAUCUUCCGCAAUGGACGAAAANUNUGACGGAGCAACCCCCGCGUGAGCGAUGAAGGCCUUCNGGUCGUAAAGCUCUGUUGUUAGGGAAGAACAAGUACCGGAGUAACUGCCGGCACCUUGACGGUACCUAACCAGAAAGCCACGGCUAACUACGUGCCAGCAGCCGCGGUAAUACGUAGGUGGCAAGCGUUGUCCGGAAUUAUUGGGCGUAAAGCGCGCGCAGGCGGUCCUUUAAGUCUGAUGUGAAAGCCCACGGCUCAACCGUGGAGGGUCAUUGGAAACUGGGGGACUUGAGUACAGAAGAGGAAAGCGGAAUUCCACGUGUAGCGGUGAAAUGCGUAGAGAUGUGGAGGAACACCAGUGGCGAAGGCGGCUUUCUGGUCUGUAACUGACGCUGAGGCGCGAAAGCGUGGGGAGCAAACAGGAUUAGAUACCCUGGUAGUCCACGCCGUAAACGAUGAGUGCUAAGUGUUAGAGGGUUUCCGCCCUUUAGUGCUGCAGCUAACGCAUUAAGCACUCCGCCUGGGGAGUACGGCCGCAAGGCUGAAACUCAAAUGAAUUGACGGGG
rnacentral:rRNA from 1 species